GUAAUUACAUUGUGUCUGCAGGGGACUGGUCUUACUACUCUUAACUGAGCAAGUAUAUCAAGCAACAAUGUUGCAACAUUCGAUCCGCACAGCAACAAAGUAGCUCAGACAAAUCGCUGCACACAUGCGUUAGUAGAGAGUGAUUCAGACGUAAAGUCUCGGAUAUCCCUGGAGCUUUUACGACAACAGAGGGGAAAGCAGACUGCAGUCCCGGAGGAAAGCUUUCCUACUGUGAGAUAUGUUACUUAUUACUGAUAGUGGCUGCACCCUGAUAGUCGCCCACCCCGUGUGACCCCCUACCUGGACUCAGGACAGCUGAUAUAUUCCCCACAUGAGAAGACGUGUGAAUGAAUAGAUGGGGAAUUAAUAGAAGAAAAGAACAAGGAAUAGUAAUACUGGUAACACAUAACUUAAGAUGUGACGAGAAAAGGGAUCCAUUCAAUAUCCCUACACCUGCCAGAACGCUGACGACGGACUACAGAAAACCUCAGUAUCCCGACACCGAAAUACUGACAGCCAGUAUAUGAAUUCUUGUCUGUUUGUGGCUCUGUUCUGGUAUCACACAAAAACUACUGGACACAUUUGGAUAGCGUUUUCACUAUUGCAUAGCCUAGUGACCUAGAAAAAACAGAGCUAUGUAUAAGAGGAGCACUAAAGGAACAAACAGAUGCUUGACACUAGGCAUGUGCAGUGUGCAUGCUCCUCAG